AAUGAGGAAAUAAACGAGACAGUCGAGCUGUUAUGACGCUGAGACGGUGGCCUCAUGCAUUGGAACGUACGGUUUUGUGCAGAGGUUUAUUCUUUUUAAAUUAGGCAGCGGAAUAUUAGGUACUGUUUUAUCUGUAAACAAAGGAUUUGGAGGAAAAGGGUGACCAGUGUGACAAAACCACAGAAUCGUCACGUUUUAAGGAUCUUGCAUUUCUUUUCUUCUGCAUUGUCGAUUUUUUAAAUAUUGCUGGAUAAAAGAAACAACUGAUCUGCACCUUCAAAAUGGACAGCGAAAUGUCAGAUCUCGACCAAGCAACAGGGCCUGAGAGCAGCAUGGAGGGUGAGAACGGCGAGAAUGCACCUGUUUACUGUAUUUGUCGUAAGCCUGACAUCAACUGCUUUAUGAUCGGCUGUGAUAACUGCAACGAAUGGUUUCAUGGAGACUGCAUCAACGUCACAGAGAAAAUGGCCAAAGCCAUCAGGGAAUGGUACUGCAAGAAAUGUCAAGAAAUGAAUCCAGCUCUGGAGAUUAAGUAUCGCCCAAAGAAGUCUCGUGAGAGAGAAAUUGAUCUGGAGCAGAUGGAGGAGGACAGAAAGGCGAGAGAUACUCCUGAUUUUAAAAUGGAAAAACGUCGUGGAUCAAGGUCCCAGGUAAAGCGAUCUGCAAGAAUGUGUGGUGAAUGUGAGCCAUGUCGGCGUACUGAAGACUGUGCUCAGUGUGACUUCUGUAAAGAUAUGAAGAAGUUUGGAGGUCCUAAUAAAAUACGACAAAAGUGUCGCUUGAGACAGUGUGAGGUCCGCGCUAGGAAAAUGUUGCGUGUAAGAGAUGAUGAGUUCAUGCCUAUGAAAGAGCAAGAUGACUCCACCCAAAAAGAUUCUAAUCUAUCCGAUGAUUAUGAUGAACAAGAAAUGGCUUUGUAUGAACAAUACCGUGAGGCUGGAUAUGAGGACCAUAACAUGCCGUGCUUUAGUGAUGAUGAUGAUGGACCUUUCUUAGAUUCUGUGCUUCGCAAGCGAGCUGUUAAAGUCAAGCAUGUCAAAAGACGGGAAAAGAAAUCUGAGAAAAAGAAAGAAGACUACAAAUAUCGUCGUCAUAAACAGAAGCAAAAACACAGAGACAAGACUAAGCAUAGUGAUCGAGGUGACACUAAGGAUUCAGGGGGCUUGCGACAAUGCUUGGGACCUGGUUGCGUGGAAGUGGCACGCUCAAACUCCAAGUACUGCUCUGAGGACUGUGGCAUGAAGCUGGCUGCCAAUCGCAUUUAUGAAAUUCUGCCCCAGCGAAUUCAGCAGUGGCAACAGAGCCCGUGCAUUGCAGAGGAACAGGGAAAAAAGCUUUUGGAAAGAAUCAGACGUGAGCAACAUCAAGCACGAAUGAAGUUGCAAGAAAUGGAGCGACGCUUCCAUGAGCUUGAGAACAUCAUCAUCAAGGCCAAACAACAGGCUGUGCAGCAUGAUGAGGAAGUGAAUGAAGGUGAUAGUGAUGACACAGACCUUCAGAUAUUCUGUGUAUCCUGCAGUCAUCCGGUCAACCCCAAGGUGGCACUGCGACACAUGGAAAGAUGCUAUGCCAAGUAUGAGAGCCAAACAUCUUUUGGAUCUAUGUAUCCAACUCGGAUUGAAGGGGCUACCCGUCUUUUCUGUGACGUCUACAACCCACAGAGCAAAACUUACUGCAAGCGCCUUCAAGUUUUGUGUCCAGAGCAUUCAAGGGACCCAAAGGUACCAGCAGAUGAAGUGUGUGGCUGCCCAUUGGUCAAGGAUGUCUUUGAGCCAACAGGAGAAUUUUGCCGUGUAUCCAAACGCAAAUGUAAUAAGCACUACUGCUGGGAAAAGUUAAGACGGGCAGAAGUGGACCUGGAGCGAGUCCGAGUGUGGUACAAGCUGGAUGAGCUUUUUGAACAAGAGCGCAAUGUCAGGACAGCAAUGACAAAUCGUGCUGGUUUGCUGGCACUAAUGUUGCAUCAGACUAUUCAGCACGAUCCCCUGACCACAGAUCUCCGCACCAUCAAAGACCGCUGAUCCGCACAGUCGACUUUGGAGGCGUCACUUCAGCUUUGUUUUCUACAGUGCCAGCAUCUGCGUACAUAGUGAACUUCUCCUUCAUCACGGACUUCUGCCUAAUGUGUUCACUAUGUACGGCACUUUCUUACUGGAACAGUUUCAAAAGAGGAGCUGGAGACAUUCUGCUGACAUCCACAUUGAUGGAAAAUUGCAUUGUAUAAAAUCCCCUACAUGGCUGGCAGACAUACACCCACCCAGAGCACGACGGAGCGGCCAGCCAUCGGUGUACGUCAUACCAGCACUUUUUCUGGCAUCUUUGUGAAGUAAGAAUUUCCUGUUUGCACUGCUGCCGCUGCUUGUCACUCUGUGCUUUGUGGUCUUUUCAGCUCUGCAGUCUCGUGUGCUCGUUGCCUUUCUGUAAAUGUUUCUUAGCUGCACCGCGCCCUAUGAGCCCACUUGUUUAAGACGUCUGUCUUUGCACAGCGCCAGAUGAUUCUACUAGAUGCUGAAGGAGCCAUUCACUGGAUUUCCUUCAGUCCCUUGAGAUUGUGACUUUUCAGUACUGUUCAUUUGCUUUUUGGGUCUUCUUCAGUCUUCAGCUUCCUCCGUUUCAUCAAAUGUCUCCAUGGCAGCUUGAACACCACAUCUUGAAAAUCCAGUUUGGCGUGGCAUUGCCUGCUGACUACAGGAUUGCUGAUAGAAACCUAUGAUUUUUUGUCUGUAAAAGUGACCUAUGGCAGCCAUUUCCAAACUUCUCCUCGAGGCCGCACAGUGUUUGUGGUUACCAUCCGUUACACCCAUUUAUUACAUUAAACUGCCCACUAAGCACGCCUGGUUUGGCUCGUAGCCGCCUUACUCGUUUGUAUCAGUGUGCUGUUGCUGGAGUUCAAUAACUACCUGGGAAAGCUGAGGUGCCUCAAGGAGAGGUUUGGGAACCACACCAGUGCUGUUCUAGCCACCUCACAAGAUAUGAGAAAAUGCAAAUUCUUGGUACUUUUUAUUGUAUCGAUAUUUUGAUGCAUUUGUUCUAAUGUUCUGUUGUAUUUUCACAAGCAAAUAAGCACACACUGCCCAGAGAACUACUUUUAAAAAUCAUUUUAGGUGGCCUAAGCCUUUUGCACAGUACUGUAUAUCCUUUUAUUAUUAAUUCGCCUCACUCUUCUAUAAAUUUACA